rnacentral:rRNA from 1 species
AAGCUCGUAGUUGAAUUUCGGCAUCUAUUUGUUGGUCGUGCCUCGGUACGUACUGGCAUUAUUGGUUUCUACCUUCUGAAGAACCUUGAUGUCAUUAAUUUGGUGUCUUGGGGAAUCAGGACUGUUACUUUGAAAAAAUUAGAGUGUUUAAAGCAGGCAUACGCUUGAAUACAUUAGCAUGGAAUAAUGAAAUAGGACGUUUGAUUCUAUUUUGUUGGUUUCUAGGAUCGACGUAAUGAUUAAUAGGGAUAGUUGGGGGCAUUAGUAUUCAAUUGUCAGAGGUGAAAUUCUUGGAUUUAUUGAAGACUAACUACUGCGAAAGCAUUUGCCAAGGAUGUUUUCAUUAAUCAAGAACGAAAGUUAGGGGAUCGAAGACGAUCAGAUACCGUCGUAGUCUUAACCAUAGACUAUGGCGACUAGGGAUCGGAUGAUGUUAUUUUUAAUGACUCAUUCGGCGCCUUACGGGAAACCAAAGUGUUUGGGUUCCGGGGGGAGUAUGGUCGCAAGGCUGAAACUUAAAGGAAUUGACGGAAGGGCACCACCAGGGGUGGAGCCUGCGGCUUAAUUUGACUCAACACGGGGAAA